CAGACGACAGUACACGGUGCACAGAACAUUCCCCGGCAAGAGGAAGAAAGAAAUGAUGGAUACAACAGCGUGAACCAGGAGCAGAGAGCGUCGGCUAUGUGAAAGAAGGCAGCUGUGGACGAGCACGCCCUGGGUGACCCCGUUCCUGGGACGUUUCCAGAAAAGGCAAAACCAGACACAAAGCAGAGCCGUGGCUGUCCAGGGACACAGAGCUUCCGAGAGGUACGGGAGCUGCCCAAGACCACACAGCCAGCACGUGAGCGAUGGGGCGGGCGUCUGCAACAAGAGCUGUUUACACCUGGAGUCGGCACCAGCCCUCCUGCCAGCACGUUCCUGCAGCCAGUGCGCCACCCCGACCACACACACGCCCGCUGCAUGUCCACACCGGCCCGCCACCCGCUGCCUAGGGCCUGGGCCCGUGCUCAGCAAGGAGGCAACCGAGAGACAGAAGAGCACACAGACCCCAAGGCAACUGCUCGGUGAGUUUGAUUCCUGUCUGUUCUGAUCCAGUUUCCUGCUAAUGUGAAUCCUGGGAGGUAGCAGGUUAUGGCGCAAGUCCUUAGGUCCCUGUCGCCCAUGUGGGAGGCCUUUGUGGAGUUCCUGGCUCCUGGAUUUGGCUUGGCCCAGCCCUGAAUGUUGCAGGCAUUUGGGGAGUGAACCAGUGGACGAAAAACGUCCAUCUCUCUUUAUUAUUUAUUUAUUUGAGAGGUAGAGUUACGGGGAGAGAGGAAGAAACAGAGAGAAAGGUCUUCCAUCUACUGGGUCGCUCCUCAAAUGGCUGCAACAGCCGGAGCUGAGCUAAUCCAAAGCCAGGAUCCAGGAGCUUCUUCCAGGUUUCCCACACGGGUACAGCGCCCAAGGGCCCAAGCACUUGAGCCAUCUUCCACUGCUUUUCCAGGCCACAGCAGAGAGCCGGGUUGGAAGAGGAGCGGCCAGAACUAGAACCGGUGCCCAUAUGGGAUGCCGGCACUGUAGAUGGAGGUUUAGGCUUCUGCGCCACAGCGAGGACCCCAGAUGUUCACCUCUCUCUCUCUCUGUUUUUCCUUGUCUAUCAAAUAAGAUGAAAAUAGACACACACACGAUUUCAAGAGAGGAGAGGAGAACCCCAAUGUCCCAUCAGCAGCAGACGGGCGGGGUCACUGGGCUCCAUCCUCAAGCCUCCCCAGAUCCGACAGUGCGCCCCUGGGCAGGAGGCUGGCUUCUCAGGAGGAUGCCUGGGGAAUCUGAAGCCAGGCCAGGGUAUGGUGACCCUGUGACCCCUGCCCGUGUCUCCCCCGGCACUGAGGGAACUGCAGGUGCUGCUGAGCACAGGCGCCGGCACAGGCUUCCGUCCCUGGCCUCCUCCCUGCCCUCGGUUCCCACACUGGCCGGGAGCAGAUGGUCUCCUUUGGAAUCUAGCUCCGGCUCCAGACUUCCUCCCCGCCACGCCUGAGUUCACUCUGGGCCAGCAGCUGGCCAGGGGCACUGCCAGCCACUCCGCGGAGGGUCUUGCUCCCUGACUCCAUUUGCAUCUCCAGCCAAUUCAAGCCUCCCUCCCCAGUGGGCAGCUGGUAGGCAGGGCCCAGGACUUCCUUCACAUCCUUCAAACCCACAUCCUGGUCCCGCUGGGAGAUCUGGGCUCAUCCUUUACCUGCUAUGCUCUCCACAGCUCAGCACGACACAAGUAUAAACAAUCACAAAGUCACACACACACACACACACACACAGGAUAAACACACAUAUAAACACACAUCCUCACCCCACACACAGAGACAUGCGCGUAGACACAUGCACACACACACGCCCAUAAGCACACACAGCCACACGCAGCAAUACAAUGCACACCCGGAGAACACACGUACACACAGUGCACACACGGGGCCCAUACAUGACACACACACAGCACAUACACAGAGCACACUGAUGCUUGCAGGCGCCAGGCAGGAGACAAAGGUCACCCAGCACCCUGCGCCCGCACUGGACACAGCUAAACCUUCCCGCGGCUCACCCUGCCCCCAAGGCUGGUCUCAGCGUGGCCUGGACCCCGCAGCCUGAAGCGCCGACG